rnacentral:misc_RNA from 1 species
GAUGAAGAACGUAGCAAAAUGCGAUAAGUAAUGUGAAUUGCAGAAUUCAGUGAAUCAUCGAAUCUUUGAACGCACAUUGCGCCCGCCAGUAUUCUGGCGGGCAUGCCUGUUCGAGCGUCAUUUCAACCAUCAAGCCCCCGGCUUGUGUUGGGGACCUGCGGCUGCCCGCAGGCCCUGAAAACCGGUGGCGGUCUCGCUGUCACACCGAGCGUAGUAAGCAUUAUCUCGCUCAGGGCGUGCUGCGGGUUCCGGCCGUUAAAUGAAAAGCCUUCGUAGCCCAAGGUUGACCUCGGAUCAGGUAGGAAGACCCGCUGAACUUAAGCAUAUCAAUAAGCGGAGGA